AACAACGAAUUGGCUAUGGUCUAUCAUAAAUUAGUCUUUUAGGAAUUUUCGAAGUGAAACUAUUCCAUUCUCUCGAUUUCCGGCCUUCUCUCAGCUCGAUCACCCAUGUCGAGGGUUUACAAUGUAGUCUUUGUCUAUUUAUAUAAGUGUACGCACAGAUGAUGUUUGAAUUUCGCUCUUAAUUUAUGACGGUCGAUACAAAAGGUCCUCGAAGAACAUUCAAGACAUAUCGAUACAACAGACUAUCUAUAAAUAUUCCCAUGGCAGUGUCGCCAUAACACUCUAACCAUAUUCACGUGAUAACAUUUCACGUUACACCUUCCCCCUUAUACAAAAAGGUGUUUACAUAAAACAGCUUUUUCAUUCAUAACAUUUCUCUCUCUAAUAACGUGAAAGAAAGUCUGUAUCAACUAAUUCAUUCCAAAGUCACGUGCCGUACAACUUCAAUAGCCCAUUCAAUAGUUCGUAAUUUCGCACACAUCAUGAUCCGUAUAUGUAAACAUACAACAAAUAGUAAUUCUUCCAUAUAUUAUCAAUUGUCUCUGGAUUAUUCGUAAGCCUUAAUAUUAGUAGAAUAUAAGCACAAGCUUACAAGGCAUCAACGAUUCGCAGAAAUCUAAUUCAGUCUUCGGUUGGAUCGUCCAGCCAUAUACACGCCACUUUUAGUUUAUUGGGACCCAGCCAGUCGCAGUCAAAUUUGAAAGUUCUAGGCUCUUUGAAUUUCGUGCAGCCAUAGCCUGUGUGGUGGUGAUUUUAGUAAAAAGCUCAUUAAAAUGCUGUGCAAAAGUUCGAGGCGUUUGCCCCUUGUCAAAUUCGGAAGGUAUGUUGGCUUUAACACCAAAAACUAAUUGAUGAGGGGUAAACCCAGUGCCCUCAUGUACAGAAGUAUUGCACGAAAAAAUACAAAAACGUAUCCAAUCAUCCCAAUCCGUCUUUGUGCAGUAGUGUUUGAGAUAAUUAAUAAAACUACGGUGUGCCCUUUCAAGAGAACCCAACGACUGAGGAUGAAAAGCCGUGGAUGUUAUUCGCUGUAUUUUGAAAAUCCUACAGAAAUUCUUCAUUACCUGAUUAAUGAAGUUCCUCCCUUGAUCAGUAUGGAUAACCCGUGGGCAUCCAAAUCUACUGAUAAACUGUUCGGCAAGAGCAUGAGCAACGGUUACUGUAUCUAUGGUUUUUAAUGGAAUUGCAUCAGAAUAUUUAGUCAAAUUAUCUUGCAGACAGUAUAAUUUUUAUUUUUCUGACAAAGAGGACAGGUGCGAUCGAAUUCUGUAAUCUCCUUUGCCAUACCCGGCCAAUAAAACCGUUCGUGAAUAAGUUGGUGCAAUUUAAAAACACCCCUAUGACCUCCAAUUGCAGAUUCAUGAUGCUCCUGAAUGAUUUGAGAAUGACUAGAUUCCGGUGGAACUACAAUUUCUCCAGUGCACAAGGGUUGAAUCUGUCCGGAUCUAUCAAGAUACUAAACGUUUUCGUAUCCAAGAACAAAAAGAAGACGGAGUGUUUAUCGUGCGGAAAAGCCAUGGCAUUGCCGAUUUCAAAUUGAUAUUGUUGCACUUCCUCUACUGAGAAUCCAAUUCGGUUUAACAAACCCAUAGUGGUUUGAGAUGUGUCCAUACAAUUUAAAGGAAUAAAAUGAACGAGAUUGUCUUGCCACAUGAAAAGGUUGUCCUUUACAUCGUGAAUAGUAGUAUCUGAAGGCGGCACCCCACCUGUACAGGCGAGCACCCCUUCCAAACGUUGUAAAUCCAAAUUAGAAUCAGUGUCAGACCGUAUGGGUUUUGGUUGAGGAACAGGAUUUAUGCAGGUUUCUACGGGGUUUCGUGAUAGUACAUCGGCGUUGACGUUAACCUUUCCAGAUGUUGGAUCCUUGACAUUGUGUAACCAUACUAAGGGUCUAUGGUCAGUGAGCAAUGUAAAUUGUCGGCCAUAAAGUGAUCUGGAGGCAUACGCGACUGGGAGAUCUUUUCCCACUGGUCCCUCGCUAAGGAUGACGCCAAUAGCAUAAUUAGAAGCAUCCGUAGCAACGAGGAAUGACUGUGAAAAAUUCGGGAACUGCAAUAGAGGUUCCGCACAGAUAAUAUCUCUUAAGGUUUCGAAGGAAGUUUGCACGUCAGCUGUCCAACGAAAAGGCUGAAGGGUCAAUCCAGCGUUUUGUAACCGAGCUAAAAGGGUUCUCAACUUACGCCCAUGCUCUUCGAUGGAGGCUGCAUAAAUGACAAUAUCGUCCAUAUAAACCAGAAGCUCGAUGCCCUGCAACCCGGAUAGUAUCAAGUCCAUAACCCUUUGAAAAGUGGCUGGAGCAUUCUUAAAACCAAAGGGCAUUCUGUUGAACUCAUAAUGACCGUGAGGGGUAGAAAAGGCCGUUUUAGACUUCGAUGCAGGAUCUACAGGAAUCUGGUGGAAACCAGAAGCUAAAUCGAGAGUGCUGAAAUAUUUCGCCCCUCCUAACUGAUUCAAAAUUUCGGUAAAAUUUGGAAGAGGAAGAACCAGGUUUUUUCGGGACUACUCAUACAGGUGAAUUGUAAGGGGAUACCGACGGCUGGAUAAUUUUGUCCUUAAGCAAGGAAUCUACCUGAGUUUCUAUUUCAUUUUUAUGGAUCGGAGGGUACCUAUACUGCUUGAUACUGGCCUUUUCCCCUUCUUGAAGGUGACUCAGAUCCAAGUAAUUAAGCAGUGCACUAAAUCUUUGAGCCUGAUCUGCUGAUCUAUUUGCGUUCGGAUUUCCCGUUCGAGAAGAACGCGAUGCAGGAUGUUUCAGUUCAAAAUCUUCCAAUUUAACCUGCGGUAUUAUACCAGGACCAGCAUCAAUUCUCCUAACGUAACCCGAUGUAAUAUCACCCUUCGUUGGGACAGAAAUCAAAACUUUAUUCCGAGGAGGCAACUCAUAUGAUGAGAAAAUGGGAGUGCGCAAAUUUUCAUCACCAAAUUCCACAAGACAUGGAAAAUUUUCUCCAAACCUCAGUGUAGCCCUUUGCUUUUCCAAAAAUGACGUCCCUAAAAUUCCGGCCUCCCUAACAGGAAAGUCAUCUUCCACCACCUAAAAAUGUACAGGGAUGCCAUGCACACUAAGAACUACAUCACCCCAUGUCUUGACUAUACCUGCACUAAUGCCGGUUAAGUUGCGAGCCGGUGUCUACAAGGAAUUUAGCGAGACCAUUCCGAAAAUGUUCGUGUUCUAAAGAAAUAUAUGGCGAUUGUCUGAUCUGCUUUAAACUGGUUUCGCGGCCAACGCGGUGGAUCCGGCGCGAGAGAUAAGGGGUUCCCUCCGUGCUGUACCCGUCGACGAAACUCCCUUUGAGUUUAAAGGAUUUUCCUGCUGCCUAGAAGUUGAAGGAAUUGGUGAUUGCGGUUUCCUCCAAACACGGACUUGCAUUACCUGCUAUACUUCUAUAAAUGUGCUGCUGCGUCCGACUUUGGAUCAGCACGAGCAAAUAGACUUUAUCACCCAGUUUGACCAAAGAAUCAGCGAGUCGACACUGUGCAAUAAAGUGAUUUACUGAGGACGAUUUACCAUCAAAAUGAGCCGAAGGUUGCGAUGAAGGUUGAGCAGGUGCUACGUUGGAAACAUUUAAUUGAUUGCCAACACCGGGUGAAGAGAAAAGAAUCGCAUUAGAAGUUGUUGCCCCAAAUGAAACUGGCGUAUUAUUUACCGUGCUACUAGCAGGAUUUGGCACACCACCCGUCGCACCCCAGCUCUAUAUAGUAGAUUGUUCGGGGACAAGAAGUGACUCCUGCAACUGAGUUUCAGUAUUAUGCAAGGAAAAAGAAGACCCUAUGCUAGGUGUACGACUCCGUCCGUCGACGACCCGUUGAUCCGGUUGACCUCGGCUUACGAGAAGAACCCUCAGUACUCCGGCUCGAUGGUCCCCAAUUCAGCAGCAGGUACUCCAGUAAAAUUUGUCCGCAGUCAGCUGCUUCAGGAAUAAUGCAACGAUGACAUGGACGAGGUGCGCGUGAUUUCGGUGGAUGGCUUGCACGGCAGCCGAAAUCACCUGCCUCCGGUAUUUACCCUUCUGUAACGACCCAGUGAUAGGUACGUCACUGCACCGACGUAUAGGGAGAGCGGUUCCCCAAGA